rnacentral:rRNA from 1 species
AGUGAACGCUGGCGGUAGGCCUAACACAUGCAAGUCGAACGGCAGCACAGUAAGAGCUUGCUCUUACGGGUGGCGAGUGGCGGACGGGUGAGGAAUACAUCGGAAUCUACUUUUUCGUGGGGGAUAACGUAGGGAAACUUACGCUAAUACCGCAUACGACCUGCGGGUGAAAGCAGGGGAUCUUCGGACCUUGCGCGAUUGAAUGAGCCGAUGUCGGAUUAGCUAGUUGGCGGGGUAAAGGCCCACCAAGGCGACGAUCCGUAGCUGGUCUGAGAGGAUGAUCAGCGACACUGGAACUGAGACACGGUCCAGACUCCUACGGGAGGCAGCAGUGGGGAAUAUUGGACAAUGGGCGCAAGCCUGAUCCAGCCAUACCGCGUGGGUGAAGAAGGCCUUCGGGUUGUAAAGCCCUUUUGUUGGGAAAGAAAAGCAGCAGGUUAAUACCCCGCUGUUCUGACGGUACCCAAGGAAUAAGCACCGGCUAACUUCGUG